GAUGAAGAACGUAGCGAAACGCGAUAGGUAAUGUGAAUUGCAGAAUUCAGUGAAUCAUCGAAUCUUUGAACGCACAUUGCGCCCCUUGGUAUUCCGAGGGGCAUGCCUGUUCGAGCGUCAUUAUAACCCUCAAGCUCAGCUUGGUGUUGGGGCCUGCUGCACUGGCAGCCCUUAAAAUCAGUGGCGGCGCCAUCUGGCUCUAAGCGUAGUAAUUCUUCUCGCUAUGGAGUCCUGGUGGAUGCUUGCCAUCAACCCCCAAUUUUUCUAUGGUUGACCUCGGAUCAGGUAGGGAUACCCGCUGAACUUAAGCAUAUCAAUAAGCGGAGGA
rnacentral:misc_RNA from 1 species